UUUAAAUGAUGAUUGGUAAUUGUCCAGUUCUGCUACUGAAAAAGCAUGCUGAUAUUUUACCUUUGCUUACCUUUUACUGAUAA
rnacentral:snoRNA from 1 species